UACAGAGGGUGCGAGCGUUAAUCGGAAUACUGGGCGUAAAGCGCGCGUAGGCGGCUUUUCAAGUCGAUUGUGAAAUCCCCGGGCUUAACCUGGGAACUGCAGUCGAGACUGUCUAGCUAGAGUAUGGGAGAGGGAAGUGGAAUUUCAGGUGUAGCGGUGAAAUGCGUAGAUAUCAGGAGGAACACCGGUGGCGAAGGCGGUUCUCUGGGCAUUACCUGACGCUGAGGAGCGAAAGUGUGGGGAGCGAACAGG
rnacentral:rRNA from 1 species